GUGUUAAUAAAGUUGUGUUUGUACAGUGUUAAUAAAGUUGUGUGUUUGUACAGUGAUAAUAAAGUUUUGUGUCUGUACAGUGUUAAUAAAGUUGUGUUUGUACAGUGAUAAUAAAGUUGUGUGUUUGUACAGUGUUAAUAAAGUUUUGUGUUUGUACAGUGAUAAUAAAGUUGUGUCUGUACAGUGAUAAUAAAGUUGUGUUUGUACAGUGAUAAUAAAGUUGUGUGUUUGUACAGUGUUAAUAAAGUUGUGUGUUUGUACAGUGAUAAUAAAGUUGUGUGUUUGUACAGUGUUAAUAAAGUUGUGUGUUUGUACAGUGUUAAUAAAGUUGUGUGUUUGUACAGUGUUAAUAAAGUUGUGUCUGUACAGUGUUAAUAAAGUUGUGUGUUUGUACAGUGUUAAUAAAGUUGUGUUUGUACAGUGUUAAUAAAGUUGUGUGUUUGUACAGUGUUAAUAAAGUUGUGUUUGUACAGUGUUAAUAAAGUUGUGUGUCUGUACAGUGUUAAUAAAGUUGUGUUUGUACAGUGAUAAUAAAGUUUUGUGUUUGUACAGUGAUAAUAAAGUUGUGUGUUUGUACAGUGUUAAUAAAGUUGUGUUUGUACAGUGUUAAUAAAGUUGUGUCUGUACAGUGUUAAUAAAGUUGUGUGUUUGUACAGUGUUAAUAAAGUUUUGUGUUUGUACAGUGUUAAUAAAGUUGUGUGUUUGUACAGUGUUAAUAAAGUUGUGUCUGUACAGUGUUAAUAAAGUUGUGUGUUUGUACAGUGUUAAUAAAGUUGUGUUUGUACAGUGUUAAUAAAGUUGUGUGUUUGUACAGUGUUAAUAAAGUUGUGUUUGUACAGUGUUAAUAAAGUUGUGUGUCUGUACAGUGUUAAUAAAGUUGUGUUUGUACAGUGAUAAUAAAGUUGUGUGUUUGUACAGUGUUAAUAAAGUUGUGUGUUUGUACAGUGUUAAUA